rnacentral:rRNA from 2 species
AGAGUUUGAUCCUGGCUCAGGAUGAACGCUGGCGGCGUGCCUAAUACAUGCAAGUCGAGCGAACUGAUUAGAAGCUUGCUUCUAUGACGUUAGCGGCGGACGGGUGAGUAACACGUGGGCAACCUGCCUGUAAGACUGGGAUAACUUCGGGAAACCGAAGCUAAUACCGGAUAGGAUCUUCUCCUUCAUGGGAGAUGAUUGAAAGAUGGUUUCGGCUAUCACUUACAGAUGGGCCCGCGGUGCAUUAGCUAGUUGGUGAGGUAACGGCUCACCAAGGCAACGAUGCAUAGCCGACCUGAGAGGGUGAUCGGCCACACUGGGACUGAGACACGGCCCAGACUCCUACGGGAGGCAGCAGUAGGGAAUCUUCCGCAAUGGACGAAAGUCUGACGGAGCAACGCCGCGUGAGUGAUGAAGGCUUUCGGGUCGUAAAACUCUGUUGUUAGGGAAGAACAAGUACAAGAGUAACUGCUUGUACCUUGACGGUACCUAACCAGAAAGCCACGGCUAACUACGUGCCAGCAGCCGCGGUAAUACGUAGGUGGCAAGCGUUAUCCGGAAUUAUUGGGCGUAAAGCGCGCGCAGGCGGUUUCUUAAGUCUGAUGUGAAAGCCCAGGGCUCAACCGUGGAGGGU